rnacentral:rRNA from 1 species
GAUGAACGCUGGCGGCGUGCCUAAUACAUGCAAGUCGAGCGAACGGACGAGAAGCUUGCUUCUCUGAUGUUAGCGGCGGACGGGUGAGUAACACGUGGAUAACCUACCUAUAAGACUGGGAUAACUUCGGGAAACCGGAGCUAAUACCGGAUAAUAUUUUGAACCGCAUGGUUCAAAAGUGAAAGACGGUCUUGCUGUCACUUAUAGAUGGAUCCGCGCUGCAUUAGCUAGUUGGUAAGGUAACGGCUUACCAAGGCAACGAUGCAUAGCCGACCUGAGAGGGUGAUCGGCCACACUGGAACUGAGACCCGGUCCAGACUCCUACGGGAGGCAGCAGUAGGGAAUCUUCCGCAAUGGGCGAAAGCCUGACGGAGCAACGCCGCGUGAGUGAUGAAGGUCUUCGGAUCGUAAAACUCUGUUAUUAGGGAAGAACAUAUGUGUAAGUAACUGUGCACAUCUUGACGGUACCUAAUCAGAAAGCCACGGCUAACUACGUG